UUUGUACUCCCUCCGUUCGGAAUUACUUGUCUCGGAAAUGGAUGUAUCUAGAACUAAAAUACGUCUAGAUACAACCAUUUCUGCAACAAGUAAUUCCGAACGGAGGGAGUAUUCA
rnacentral:pre_miRNA from 1 species